UAAGCAUAUCACUAAGCGGAGGAAAAGAAACUAACCAGGAUUCCCCUAGUAAUGGCGAAUGAAGCGGGAAGAGCCCAGCACCGAAUCCAGCAGCCUUGCGCUGCAUGGAACUGUGGUGUUUAGGACGUCUAUUGCUGCGAUGCUCGGGUGCCCAAGUCCUCCUGAUCGGGGCCUCUCCCAGAGCGGGUGUCAGGCCUUUACCGGCACUCGACGUCGUGGCUCUGAACGUCCUUGGAGUCGGGUUGUUUGAGAAUGCAGCCCAAAGCGGGUGGUAAACUCCAUCUAAGGCUAAAUACCGACCACGUGU
rnacentral:rRNA from 1 species